GAACCAAGCGAAUGGGCCGACGUCUGAAAAGAUGUGUCCAGAUCCAGGAGCCCCCAGUGAGAAGAAAGGGCCCUCUGCCGAAGACUCACGUUUGCUUUUUAAAGCAUCAGAUUCAAACUGCGGCUGAGAAUGAUUUUAUUCGACUUAAAAGGAAUGCAGUGCUCAUACUCAAGAAGACAGAAACAACGCAAGUAAGAACAAGCAGUGUGAAAUCCCCAUGCUCAAAAGAUGAUGUGAGGGAGAGAAAAUUAACCCAAUCCUCCAAAGGAGACGGGAAAUCACAGAGACAACUUAGAAAGACUCCCAAAGCAGCAGCCAAACCAACAGGCGAGACGAGCAACGCAGCAGCCAAACCAACAGGCAAGACGAGCAACGCAGCAGCCAAACCAACAGGCAAGACUCCCAAAGCAGCAGGCGAGACGAGCAAAGCAGCAGCAAAAUCCUACAAUCUUCGAUGGAGAAAGACACCCUAAGCAAGAAGAAAAUCACCAACAUCAGCAGGAAGGAAACAGAGAUCUGUAACUUACCAAGCAGCUCAGGUUCAAAAGGCAUGAAGAUACUACUAUCAGCAUGUAUAGUAAUGCAUGUUUAGCAGUAAUAAACUAAAACCUUUCAAGCAA